GCCUUGUGGGUGUAACGGUUGGCAUAGCGGACUCUUAAUCCGUCGGACUGGGUUCAAUUCCCAGGCGAGGCA
rnacentral:tRNA from 1 species